rnacentral:rRNA from 1 species
GACGAACGCUGGCGGCGUGCCUAAUACAUGCAAGUAGAACGCUGAAGAGAGGAGCUUGCUCUUCUUGGAUGAGUUGCGAACGGGUGAGUAACGCGUAGGUAACCUGCCUGGUAGCGGGGGAUAACUAUUGGAAACGAUAGCUAAUACCGCAUAAAAUGGAUUAUCGCAUGAUAAUCCAUUGAAAGGUGCAAAUGCAUCACUACCAGAUGGACCUGCGUUGUAUUAGCUAGUUGGUGGGGUAACGGCUCACCAAGGCGACGAUACAUAGCCGACCUGAGAGGGUGAUCGGCCACACUGGGACUGAGACACGGCCCAGACUCCUACGGGAGGCAGCAGAAGGGAAUCUUCGGCAAUGGACGGAAGUCUGACCGAGCAACGCCGCGUGAGUGAAGAAGGUUUUCGGAUCGUAAAGCUCUGUUGUAAGAGAAGAACGAGUGUGAGAGUGGAAAGUUCACACUGUGACGGUAUCUUACCAGAAAGGGACGGCUAACUACGUG